rnacentral:tRNA from 1 species
AGGGCUUUGGUGAAAUGGUAUCACGUCUGAUUUUGAUUCAGAUAUUUCUAGUUCGAAUCUAGAAGGCCCUG